GAUGAACGCUGGCGGCGUGUCUAAUACAUGCAAGUCGAGCGCACAGACUAGUAGCUUGCUCCUCUGACGUUAGCGGCGGACGUGUGAGUAACACGUGUAUCACCCUCCUAUACUCAUGGGAUAACUUCUCGACACCGGAGCUAAUACCGGGUAAUAUAUUCAACCGCCUGUUUCCAUAGUCAAAGCUGCUUUUCCUGCCACUUAUCGAUGGUUAGGGUCCCCAUUAGCUAGUUGGUAAGGUAACGGCUUACCAAGGCAACGAUGCGUAGCCGUCCGGAGAGGGUGAACGGCCACACUGGAACUGAGACACGGUCCAGACUACUACGGCAGGCAGCAGUAGGGAAUCUUCCGCAAUGGGCGAAAGCCUGACGGAGCAACGCCGCGUGAGUGAUGAAGGUCUUCGGAUCGUAAAACUCUGUUAUUAGGGAAGAACAAAUGUGUAAGUAACUAUGCACGUCUUGACGGUACCUAAUCAGAAAGCCACGGCUAACUACGUG
rnacentral:rRNA from 1 species